rnacentral:rRNA from 1 species
UACGUAGGGAGCAAGCGUUGUCCGGAAUCAUUGGGCGUAAAGCGCGCGUAGGUGGCCUCAUAAGUCCGCUGUGAAAGUCCAAGGCUCAACCUUGGAAAGCCGGUGGAUACUGCCGGGCUAGAGUCCGGAAGAGGCGAGUGGAAUUCCUGGUGUAGCGGUGGAAUGCGCAGAUAUCAGGAGGAACACCAAUAGCGAAGGCAGCUCGCUGGGACGGUACUGACGCUGAGGUGCGAAAGCGUGGGGAGCAAACAGG